GUACUGUUGGUGACUCCGUCUCCUUAGACGGUGGAGCCUGCGUGACCCAGAAAGGCCAUGGUGAGCUCCUUAGAGGGAAGUAUAGUACAUAUUUCCUCCAUGUCUCCAGUACCCAACACAGUGCCUGACGUUGAGAGGGCUCUUAAUAAGUGUUUGUGAAAGACUGGUAGAGCAAUGCCCUAUGAAACAAGAAGCUGGAUAACACUGCUUAGGACUCAGAGGAGAGAGGAGUGUGGUCUACACUGCACAUCUCUGCCAAGCCUGGCACGGGAUUUGAAGUUCCACACCACUGAGCCAAACACAUCCAGACCCUCUUCCAACCCGGGGAUCUGGUGGUAAGCAAAAUACUAUUCCAGCAAGUGAUGCCCCCAGUCUCCUAAGGAUAUAAGAAACAGGAAGUUGUGUUUGGCUGCGGACAAACUCUCUCAGUGCCCCUGGGACUUACAAGAUGUUUGGAAUGAGGAACGAUCUGGUUUCUGAGUCCCUGGGCUGCAGCUGUUGAAUUUCCAGACACAAACAAGUAUGCGUUCUGAGAGCCUCGCCGAGCCCACACAACCGGGAGAGCCAAGCUGGAUUCCAUUCUGCUUUGCACAUCAGCAGCUCUGCUGCCAGCUGAACUCCAGGGCAAAAGCUGUGCCUGGUAAUGAUGCAGGCAGCAGGGAUGGCACAGCUGGCCUGGCUUAGGCCGUUAAGGGGGACACGCUUGGCCUUAUUUGGGGGAGAGCGAGAAAUGGAAGGCGAUGAAGAGUUGCGGAAGCAUACAUCAGCCUCCACAAAACUGGUGCACAGCAGGGAAACAAUCUGGUUUUGCUAGUCAUCAACAA
rnacentral:lncRNA from 1 species